rnacentral:rRNA from 1 species
ACCUGACUGCUAUCGGAUUGAUACUAAGCCAUGCGGGUCAUUGUAGCAAUACAAGGCAUACGGCUCAGUAACGCGUAGUCAACCUAACCUAUGGACGGGAAUAACCUCGGGAAACUGAGAAUAAUGCCCGAUAGAACAUUAUGCCUGGAAUGGUUUAUGUUCCAAAUGAUUUAUCGCCAUAGGAUGGGACUGCGGCCUAUCAGUUUGUUGGUGAGGUAAUGGCCCACCAAGACUAUUACAGGUACGGGCUCUGAGAGGAGUAGCCCGGAGAUGGGUACUGAGACACGGACCCAGGCCCUAUGGGGCGCAGCAGGCGAGAAAACUUUGCAAUGUGCGAAAGCACGACAAGGUUAAUCCGAGUGAUUUCUGCUAAAGAGAUCUUUUGUUAGUCCUAGAAACACUAACGAAUAAGGGGUGGGCAAGUUCUGGUGUCAGCCGCCGCGGUAAAACCAGCACCUCAAGUGGUCAGGAUGAUUAUUGGGCCUAAAGCAUCCGUAGCCGGCUCUGUAAGUUUUCGGUUAAAUCUGUACGCUCAACGUACAGGCUGCCGGGAAUACUGCAGAACUAGGGAGUGGGAGAGGUAGACGGUACUCGGUAGGAAGUGGUAAAAUGCUUUGAUCUAUCGAUGACCACCUGUGGCGAAGGCGGUCUACCAGAACACGUCCGACGGUGAGGGAUGAAAGCUGGGGGAGCAAACCGGAUUAGAUACCCGGGUAGUCCCAGCUGUAAACUAUGCAAACUCAGUGAUGCAUUGGCUUGUGGCCAAUGCAGUGCUGCAGGGAAGCCGUUAAGUUUGCCGCCUGGGAAGUACGUACGCAAGUAUGAAACUUAAAGGAAUUGGCGGGGGAGCACCACAAGGGGUGAAGCCUGCGGUUC